UGCAGUCGAGCGGUAGCACAGAGAGCUUGCUCUCGGGUGACGAGCGGCGGACGGGUGAGUAAUGUCUGGGAAACUGCCUGAUGGAGGGGGAUAACUACUGGAAACGGUAGCUAAUACCGCAUAACGUCGCAAGACCAAAGUGGGGGACCUUCGGGCCUCAUGCCAUCAGAUGUGCCCAGAUGGGAUUAGCUGGUAGGUGGGGUAACGGCUCACCUAGGCGACGAUCCCUAGCUGGUCUGAGAGGAUGACCAGCCACACUGGAACUGAGACACGGUCCAGACUCCUACGGGAGGCAGCAGUGGGGAAUAUUGCACAAUGGGCGCAAGCCUGAUGCAGCCAUGCCGCGUGUGUGAAGAAGGCCUUCGGGUUGUAAAGCACUUUCAGCGGGGAGGAAGGCGGUGAGGUUAAUAACCUCAUCGAUUGACGUUACCCGCAGAAGAAGCACCGGCUAACUCCGUGCCAGCAGCCGCGGUAAUACGGAGGGUGCAAGCGUUAAUCGGAAUUACUGGGCGUAAAGCGCACGCAGGCGGUCUGUCAAGUCGGAUGUGAAAUCCCCGGGCUCAACCUGGGAACUGCAUUCGAAACUGGCAGGCUAGAGUCUUGUAGAGGGGGGUAGAAUUCCAGGUGUAGCGGUGAAAUGCGUAGAGAUCUGGAGGAAUACCGGUGGCGAAGGCGGCCCCCUGGACAAAGACUGACGCUCAGGUGCGAAAGCGUGGGGAGCAAACAGGAUUAGAUACCCUGGUAGUCCACGCUGUAAACGAUGUCGAUUUGGAGGUUGUGCCCUUGAGGCGUGGCUUCCGGAGCUAACGCGUUAAAUCGACCGCCUGGGGAGUACGGCCGCAAGGUUAAAACUCAAAUGAAUUGACGGGGGCCCGCACAAGCGGUGGAGCAUGUGGUUUAAUUCGAUGCAACGCGAAGAACCUUACCUGGUCUUGACAUCCACAGAACUUUCCAGAGAUGGAUUGGUGCCUUCGGGAACUGUGAGACAGGUGCUGCAUGGCUGUCGUCAGCUCGUGUUGUGAAAUGUUGGGUUAAGUCCCGCAACGAGCGCAACCCUUAUCCUUUGUUGCCAGCGGUUAGGCCGGGAACUCAAAGGAGACUGCCAGUGAUAAACUGGAGGAAGGUGGGGAUGACGUCAAGUCAUCAUGGCCCUUACGACCAGGGCUACACACGUGCUACAAUGGCAUAUACAAAGAGAAGCGACCUCGCGAGAGCAAGCGGACCUCAUAAAGUAUGUCGUAGUCCGGAUUGGAGUCUGCAACUCGACUCCAUGAAGUCGGAAUCGCUAGUAAUCGUAGAUCAGAAUGCUACGGUGAAUACGUUCCCGGGCCUUGUACACACCGCCCGUCACACCAUGGGAGUGGGUUGCAAAAGAAGUAGGUAGCUUAACCUUCGGGAGGGCGC
rnacentral:rRNA from 1 species